GAUUAAGUUAUUAAGGGCGCACGGUGGAUGCCUUGGCACUAGAAGCCGAUGAAGGACGUUACUAACGACGAUAUGCUUUGGGGAGCUGUAAGUAAGCUUUGAUCCAGAGAUUUCCGAAUGGGGAAACCCAGCAUGAGUUAUGUCAUGUUAUCGAUAUGUGAAUACAUAGCAUAUCAGAAGGCACACCCGGAGAACUGAAACAUCUUAGUACCCGGAGGAAGAGAAAGAAAAUUCGAUUCCCUUAGUAGCGGCGAGCGAAACGGGAAGAGCCCAAACCAACAAGCUUGCUUGUUGGGGUUGUAGGACACUCUAUACGGAGUUACAAAGGACGACAUUAGACGAAUCAUCUGGAAAGAUGAAUCAAAGAAGGUAAUAAUCCUGUAGUCGAAAAUAGUUGUCUCUCUUGAGUGGAUCCUGAGUACGACGGAGCACGUGAAAUUCCGUCGGAAUCUGGGAGGACCAUCUCCUAAGGCUAAAUACUCUCUAGUGACCGAUAGUGAACCAGUACCGUGAGGGAAAGGUGAAAAGCACCCCGGAAGGGGAGUGAAAUAGAACCUGAAACCGUGUGCUUACAAGUAGUCAGAGCCCGUUAAUGGGUGAUGGCGUGCCUUUUGUAGAAUGAACCGGCGAGUUACGAUUUGAUGCAAGGUUAAGCAGUAAAUGUGGAGCCGUAGCGAAAGCGAGUCUGAAUAGGGCGUUUAGUAUUUGGUCGUAGACCCGAAACCAGGUGAUCUACCCUUGGUCAGGUUGAAGUUCAGGUAACACUGAAUGGAGGACCGAACCGACUUACGUUGAAAAGUGAGCGGAUGAACUGAGGGUAGCGGAGAAAUUCCAAUCGAACCUGGAGAUAGCUGGUUCUCUCCGAAAUAGCUUUAGGGCUAGCCUCAAGUGUGAUGAUUAUUGGAGGUAGAGCACUGUUUGGACGAGGGGCCCCUCUCGGGUUACCGAAUUCAGACAAACUCCGAAUGCCAAUUAAUUUAACUUGGGAGUCAGAACAUGGGUGAUAAGGUCCGUGUUCGAAAGGGAAACAGCCCAGACCACCAGCUAAGGUCCCAAAAUAUAUGUUAAGUGGAAAAGGAUGUGGCGUUGCCCAGACAACUAGGAUGUUGGCUUAGAAGCAGCCAUCAUUUAAAGAGUGCGUAAUAGCUCACUAGUCGAGUGACACUGCGCCGAAAAUGUACCGGGGCUAAACAUAUUACCGAAGCUGUGGAUUGUCCUUUGGAUAAUGGUAGGAGAGCGUUCUAAGGGCGUUGAAGCAUGAUCGUAAGGACAUGUGGAGCGCUUAGAAGUGAGAAUGCCGGUGUGAGUAGCGAAAGACGGGUGAGAAUCCCGUCCACCGAUUGACUAAGGUUUCCAGAGGAAGGCUCGUCCGCUCUGGGUUAGUCGGGUCCUAAGCUGAGGCCGACAGGCGUAGGCGAUGGAUAACAGGUUGAUAUUCCUGUACCACCUAUAAUCGUUUUAAUCGAUGGGGGGACGCAGUAGGAUAGGCGAAGCGUGCGAUUGGAUUGCACGUCUAAGCAGUAAGGCUGAGUAUUAGGCAAAUCCGGUACUCGUUAAGGCUGAGCUGUGAUGGGGAGAAGACAUUGUGUCUUCGAGUCGUUGAUUUCACACUGCCGAGAAAAGCCUCUAGAUAGAAAAUAGGUGCCCGUACCGCAAACCGACACAGGUAGUCAAGAUGAGAAUUCUAAGGUGAGCGAGCGAACUCUCGUUAAGGAACUCGGCAAAAUGACCCCGUAACUUCGGGAGAAGGGGUGCUCUUUAGGGUUAACGCCCAGAAGAGCCGCAGUGAAUAGGCCCAAGCGACUGUUUAUCAAAAACACAGGUCUCUGCUAAACCGUAAGGUGAUGUAUAGGGGCUGACGCCUGCCCGGUGCUGGAAGGUUAAGAGGAGUGGUUAGCUUCUGCGAAGCUACGAAUCGAAGCCCCAGUAAACGGCGGCCGUAACUAUAACGGUCCUAAGGUAGCGAAAUUCCUUGUCGGGUAAGUUCCGACCCGCACGAAAGGCGUAACGAUUUGGGCACUGUCUCAACGAGAGACUCGGUGAAAUCAUAGUACCUGUGAAGAUGCAGGUUACCCGCGACAGGACGGAAAGACCCCGUGGAGCUUUACUGUAGCCUGAUAUUGAAAUUCGGCACAGCUUGUACAGGAUAGGUAGGAGCCUUUGAAACGUGAGCGCUAGCUUACGUGGAGGCGCUGGUGGGAUACUACCCUAGCUGUGUUGGCUUUCUAACCCGCACCACUUAUCGUGGUGGGAGACAGUGUCAGGCGGGCAGUUUGACUGGGGCGGUCGCCUCCUAAAAGGUAACGGAGGCGCUCAAAGGUUCCCUCAGAAUGGUUGGAAAUCAUUCAUAGAGUGUAAAGGCAUAAGGGAGCUUGACUGCGAGACCUACAAGUCGAGCAGGGUCGAAAGACGGACUUAGUGAUCCGGUGGUUCCGCAUGGAAGGGCCAUCGCUCAACGGAUAAAAGCUACCCCGGGGAUAACAGGCUUAUCUCCCCCAAGAGUUCACAUCGACGGGGAGGUUUGGCACCUCGAUGUCGGCUCAUCGCAUCCUGGGGCUGUAGUCGGUCCCAAGGGUUGGGCUGUUCGCCCAUUAAAGCGGUACGCGAGCUGGGUUCAGAACGUCGUGAGACAGUUCGGUCCCUAUCCGUCGUGGGCGUAGGAAAUUUGAGAGGAGCUGUCCUUAGUACGAGAGGACCGGGAUGGACAUACCUCUGGUGUACCAGUUGUCGUGCCAACGGCAUAGCUGGGUAGCUAUGUGUGGACGGGAUAAGUGCUGAAAGCAUCUAAGCAUGAAGCCCCCCUCAAGAUGAGAUUUCCCAACUUCGGUUAUAAGAUCCCUCAAAGAUGAUGAGGUUAAUAGGUUCGAGGUGGAAGCAUGGUGACAUGUGGAGCUGACGAAUACUAAUCGAUCGAAGACUUAAUCAA
rnacentral:rRNA from 1 species